UACGAGGGGGGCAAGCGUUGUUCGGAAUUAUUGGGCGUAAAGGGCGCGUAGGCGGCCUUCUAAGUCAGACGUGAAAUCCCCCGGCUUAACCUGGGAACUGCGUCUGAUACUGGGAGGCUAGAGUAUGGGAGAGGGAUGUAGAAUUCCAGGUGUAGCGGUGAAAUGCGUAGAUAUCUGGAGGAAUACCGGUGGCGAAGGCGGCAUCCUGGACCAUUACUGACGCUGAGGCGCGAAAGCUAGGGGAGCAAACGGG
rnacentral:rRNA from 1 species